rnacentral:rRNA from 1 species
ACACUCCUACGGGAGGCAGCAGUGGGGAAUUUUGGACAAUGGGCGAAAGCCUGAUCCAGCAAUGCCGCGUGAGUGAAGAAGGCCUUCGGGUUGUAAAGCUCUUUUGUCAGGGAAGAAACGGUGAAAGCUAAUAUCUUUUGCUAAUGACGGUACCUGAAGAAUAAGCACCGGCUAACUACGUGCCAGCAGCCGCGGUAAUACGUAGGGUGCAAGCGUUAAUCGGAAUUACUGGGCGUAAAGCGUGCGCAGGCGGUUUUGUAAGUCUGAUGUGAAAUCCCCGGGCUCAACCUGGGAAUUGCAUUGGAGACUGCAAGGCUAGAAUCUGGCAGAGGGGGGUAGAAUUCCACGUGUAGCAGUGAAAUGCGUAGAUAUGUGGAGGAACACCGAUGGCGAAGGCAGCCCCCUGGGUCAAGAUUGACGCUCAUGCACGAAAGCGUGGGGAGCAAACAGGAUUAGAAACCCUUGUAGUCCCA